GCACAGCUGACGAGUCCCAAACAGGACGAAACACUUUUCCAGUAC
rfam:Echinostoma caproni strain Egypt genome assembly, scaffold: ECPE_scaffold0003666